GCCUGGGUGGCUCAGUUGGUUGAGCGUCUGACUUCGGCUUAGGUCUUCAUCUCGCAGUCCGUGAGUUUGAGCCCCGCGUCAGGCU
rnacentral:tRNA from 1 species